GGAGUAAAUAUGCUCUAUUUUUUCGUAGCAUUUAUAAUGAAAAAUAUCUUACAAGAUAGUAGUCAAAAGUGAAUGAAUUCACUUUCGUCUACUGUGUUGUAAUAUACUAUUACUACGUUCAGCCUCAGGUUCUAUUAAACCCUCUUUUUCUUAUCAUCGCUAAAAAUUAUUGACCAUCAUAUAAGGAAAGUCAUUAAAAAUCCUUGAAAUUUUAAUAAAAUUGACCAAAAAUAUCAUAAAAUAAAUACAUACUACUGUAAAAAUUGAAAAACGAAUGAAUUUUUUGAAAAGUUACAUAAGGAUUGGACAAACAUUGCAUGACACAUUUUUAAAACUUGUUAACUUAUUGAAAUACCUAUAUCUAAUUUGAUUGGUCAAUUUGACAUGAAACUUCAUUAAAUGAAAAAUGGUGAAAUGUGAUCAAAGUAGAUAUCUUUUUCGUAAUCUCGCAUUUCCAAAUCUUGACUUCGUUGAGAACUUUUUUUUCCAGGUGGAAAAAUAAUCACUACCAGAUAGUGAAGCCUAAGACUAUGAUGCUUUCUGUGGAAAUCGUACAAACAAUCGUACAUAUUCACAUUUUGACAUGGGUUGAAACCAUAUGUAUAAGUAACUAUACCAUAGGGUCUUACCCAUGUAACAUUACAAUAAAACUAAAGGAUACUGGCAAUACUAUGAAGCUGAAGAUCGUCUCUAGUAUAGCAUAAAAAUUAUUGACUGUAAGAAAAGUCAUUAAAAAUGCUUGAAAUUUUACUAAAAUUGACCAAAAAUAUCAUAAAAAUAAGUAUUGUAAAAAUUGAAAAAAAUGAUUAAAUUUUUGAAAAAUUAAAUAAGGAUUGAAUAACCAAUUGCAUGAAACAUUUUUAAAACUUGUUAACUACCUACUUAAAAUACAAUUUGAGUGUUUAAAUUGACAGAAACUUCAUGAAAUUAAAAAUGGUAAAAUUGAUCAAAGUAUCAUUUUAAAGAUCUGAUCAAAGGUAAAGGCACCAAUUAUGGGCCAGUUCAAAUAUGGAUCACUGCCAGAUUUUGUUAUGGUAAUUAGCGUAAUCUGUCAGGAAAAAAUGUUUUCUGAUGUAUUUUUCUCCACAAAGACGAAAUGUUCCUACAUAAAAAUUCUUUGCUUUUGGAAUAUCAUUUAGAGAAAUAUCGACGGAGAAAUACGACCCAUUCAAAAAUAAAACGUCAAAGUUUUUGAAUGUUGCGUUUCGAGACCUAACAUAGAUUUUCUCCAGCUGACCAAAUGUAUUCAGGGAAAGAAUUACAAUUACUUAGUGCAGAUUAUUUACUUCAGAAUUUCCAACAACAAACUACAAUUUUUUGUGACGUUUGAGGCAAUCAUUGGCAUUUUAGGUUGUCUUCAAUGUAGCUAGGGAACAUUUUGUAAAAAAAAAACAACAAGGUCAAUUUUCGAUGGUUGUAAGCAGAACGUUAAUUGUUGACUAAUCAAUCACUUUUAUUACGCUCAUGCAGCCUCAGGUUUUAUUAAACCUUCUUUUUCUUUAUCUUGCAUCUCCAAAUCUGGACUUUGUUUAGAAUCUUUUGUUUUCCAGGUGGAAAAAUACCUACUUCCAGAUUGUCCAUAUGAUCAUGUACGGCUAAUUCUUAACUUUCUUCCCUGGGUAUUUACAUUUUUUUUCAGAUUUCACAGAGGUUGAAAUCAUGUAUAUUGUACAUACAUACAUACGAAUAUGUAUGAUAGAUUAUUACUCAAAGUACCUAACAUAACAAUAAAAGUAAACCAACUCUGAUUAUCAGCUGAAGUCCGAAUUGUCCGAUACUGGCAAUACUGAAGCCAAAGCACGUCUAUAAAAAUUAUUGACUAUGAGGAAAGCCAUUCAAAAUCCUCAAAAUUUUACUAAAAUUGACAGAAAAUACGUAUCAUAAAAUAAAUACUUAUUGUAAAAAUUGAAAAGAAAUGAAAUUUUUGAAAAAUUAAAUAACGACUGAACAAACAUUGCAUGAUCAUUUUUAAAAACAUCAAACUUUUUGAAUUAUAAUUUGAAUAUUCAAAUUGACAGAAACUUCGUGAAAUGAAAAAUGGUAAAGACUAAAAUGUAAUCAAAGUAUCUUUUUCUUUAUCUCGUAUUUCUAAAUCUUCACUUUGUUGAGAACUUUUUUUUCAGGUGGAAAAAUAACCACCAACAGAUACUUAGUCCAGCCAAACUAUGAAAGUGUAAAUUAAAUAAUUAAUGAAUCAGAUUCUCAGCUGAAGUCUGAAUCGUCCGAUACUAGCGAUGCUGAAGUCAAAUAUCAUUUCUCGUAUAGCAUAAAAAUUAUUGACUACAGGUAUAAGGAAAGUCAUUAAAAAUCGUCGAAAUUUUACUAAAAUUAAUUGACUAAUCAACCAUUUAUACUAUGCUCAGCCUCAGGUUCUAUUAUACCUUCUUUUUCUUUAUCUUGCAUUUCCAAAUCUGGACUUUGUUGAGAACUUUUUGUUUUCUGAGUGGAAAAACAGCCACUUCCAGAUAGGUAGUCCAAAAAAUAGCUACUUCCACGUUAAACUUCAUUUAGUGGCCUAAUAUUUGACUGAUACUGGCAAUACCGAAGAUGAAGUAUGCCUCUAAAAAUAAUGACUAUAAGGAAAGUCAUUGAAAAUCCUUGAAAUUAUACAAAAAUUGACUGAAAAUAUCACAAAAUAAGUAUUGUGAAAAUUUUUAAAAAAAUGAUGAAAUUUUUGAAAAAUUAAAUAACGAUUGAACAAAAAUUGGAUGAAAUAUUUUAAAAACUGCAAUAUGGAUCAGUGCCAGACCUUGUUCAUAAUUUGCUCAAUCUGCCAGGAAAAACGUUUUUUGAUACUGUAGGUAUUUUUUUUUUUACUGAAAAUACAAAUAAUAGGAAUAUAAUUACAACUGUAAAGUCAAAACUCACUGAGAUACUUAGGUAUAAACAACUUUUUGGGAUAUGCUAAAUAUUUUUUUCGGUGUGUUCUUCAACUUGUGUUGAAAUAGAAUUAUGUACAUACAUGUAAUUUUCUAAAUGUUAUUGACGUUUAUAAAUCCAGCCCACCCUCCCCCCCCCCGAGAGAGAGAUACACGGAAAACUAAAACAAUGAAAACAACCUGAAAACAACCUGAAAUCAACGUAAAACCAAGACGAGCAGUUGCACUGAUAUUCUGCAACCAACUCACCUUGGUCGAAUCAAAAAAUUAAAGUACCAUUUUUUCUAAUUUUUCAAGCGCUUUCUUUUGAUACCAUAACAAAGUUUCAACAAUAAUAAUUGGCGGACUUAGAUUUCAGCACAAUUUUGUCAUUUUUGUCAAAUUCUUCCGGAUCUGCAAUAGCCGGCUACUGAACAAACGGCUGAACCAAUUUUGAAGAAAUUUUGGAAUUAGGAUCUACUCAUCAAGUGCUCUGAACUUUCAGAAUAAGAUUUUGAAAUUUGACCCUUCACCCCCCCCCCUCAUUUGGGUCCAAAUUGUCUGAUACUGGCAAUACUGUAGGCAAAGAUCGUCUCUAGUACCUCAUAGCAUAAAAAUUAUUGACUAAAAGGAAAGUCAUUAAAAAUGCUCGAAAUUAUACUAAAAUUGACCAAUAAUAUCAUAAAAUUAGUACCUAAAUUGUGAUAAUUGAAAAAAAGUUGAUGAAAUUGUUGAAAAAUUAAAGAACGAUUGAACAAACAUUGCAUGAAACAUUUUAACUUGUUAACUUGCUAGGUAAAAUAUAAUUUGAGUGCUUAAAUUGACGUUUUGUGAAAAAACAACGAGUUGAUCAAUUGUUGAUGAUUGUGAGUAGAACGUUGAACGUUGUUCCAUCAGUUGGAGCUUCGAAUGCUCCUACAUACAAAUUCUUUGCUUUCAGAGAUUUUUUCCAGCUGACCUAAUGUAUUCAGGGAAAGAAUUACAAUUAGUAGAAUUUCCAACAACAAACUACAAUUUUUUUGACUUUUGAGACAACUAUUGGCAUUUUAGGUUGUCUUCAAUGUAGCUAGGGAAUGCUUUGUGAAAAAACAACGAGUUGAUCAAUUUUUGAUGGUUGUGAGUGGAACGUUGAACGUUGUUGACCAAUCAAUCACUUUUAUUACGCUCAGCUUCAGGUUCUGUUAAACCUUCUUUUUCUUUAUCUUGCAUUUCCAAAUCUGGACUUUGUUUAAAACCUUUUGUUUUCCGGGUGGAAAAAUACCUACUUCCAGAUUGUCCAUGCUAACUGUGAAGUAAGAAUUAAUGCAAUGAAGUCACGAAGGGGGCGAGGGGUGUACAGUAGAAUUAAUCGAAUUAAUGAAAUAAGUACUUACGUACAUUUUUUUUCAGAUUUGACAGAGGUUGAAUCUUAUAUAUAAUGAUAGAUUCUUUUACUCAUUUAACAUAUAACAAUAAAAAGUAAACUAACCCUGAUUAUCAGCUGAAGUCCAAAUUGUCUGGUAAUAUACCGAAACCAAAGAUCGUCUCUAAGAAUUAUUAACUACCUAACAUGGACCGAAAAUAUCAUAAGAUAAGUGUGUCGAAGAAAUUGAAAAAAAAUGAAAUUUUUGAAAAAUUAAAUAAUGACUGAACAAACAUUGCAUGAAACAUUUUUAAAACUUGUCAACUUGCUGAAACAUAAUUUGAGUGUUCAAAUUUGACAGAAACUUCAUGAAAUGAAAAAUGUGAUCAAAGUAUCUUUUUCUUCAUCUCGCAUUUCCAAAUCUCGACUUUGUUGAGAACUUUGUUUUUUACGUGGAAAAAUAACUGCUACCAGAUCGUCUACUGUCCAUGUUGUGUGAAUAAAUUGUUUACAUUUUGACAUGGGUUGAAGUUGUAUGUAGGUAUAGGUACCAUCUAAACCACAGGGUCUUACCCAUGUAAAGUAUCAUGAAUUCAUGAUAAUAAAAGUAAAAUCAACUCAGAUUAUCAGCUGAAGUCUGAAUCGUAGGAUACUGGCAAUACUAUGAAGCCGAAGAUCGUCUCUAGUAUAGGUGGCAUACAAAUUAUUGACUAUAGGAAGUCAUUAAAAAUGCUCGAAAUUUUACUAAAAUUGAUCAAAAAUAUCAGAAAAUGAGUAUUGUAAAAAUUGAAAAAAAAUGAUGAAAUUUUUGAAAAAUUAAAUAACGAUUGAACAAACAAUCGCAUGAAACAUUUUUAAAACAAAAACUUGUUAGCCACCUAAAAUACAAUUUGAGUGUUUAAAUUGACAGAAACUUCAUGAAAUUAAAAAUGGUAAUAUGUGAUGAAAGUAUAAUUUAAAAGAUCUGAUCAAACGUAUGAAGGCACCAAUGAUGGGGGCCACUUCGAAUAUGGAACAGCGCCAGAUCUUGUUCUGGUAAUAAGCGUAAUCUGCCAGGAAAAAAUGUUUUCUGAUGUAUUUUUCUCCAUAAAGACAAAAUGUUCCUGCAUACAAAUUCUUUGCUUUUGGAAUUCCAUUUAGUGAAAUAUUAAUGGAGAAAUAUGACCCAUUCAAAAAUAAAAGGUCAAAGUUUUUGAAUAAUGCCAUGAAUGAGGUGUUUCGAGACCUAACAUGGAUUUUUUCCAGCUGACCUAAUGUAUUCAGGGAAAUGAAUUACAAUUAGUGCAGAAUUACAUAUUUACUUCAGAAUUUCCAACAACAAACUACAAUUUUUUUGACUUUUGAGACAACCAUUGGCAUUUUAGGUUGUCUUCAAUGUAGAGCACGUUUUGUGAAAAAACAACGAGUUGAUAAAUAUUAUUUGAUGGUUAAUAGUCGAACGUUGAACUUGUUGACUAAUCAAUCACUUUUACUAGAACCUGAGGCAUUAAACCUUCUUUUUCUUUAUCUUGCAUUUCCAAACCUGGACUUUGUUUAGAACCUUUUGUUUUCCGGGUGGAAAAAUACCUACUUCCAGAUUGUCCAUGCUAACCGUGAAGUGUACAGUAUAUUUUUUCAGACAUUACAGGGGUUGAAAUCAUAUAUUGUAUGUAUAUAUGUACAAUAGAUUCUUACUCAAGUACUUAUUAACAUAACAAUAAAAGUAAACCAACUUUGAUUAUCAGCUGAAGUUUGAAUUGUCUGAUACUUGCAAUACUGAAGCCAAAGCACGUAUCUAAAAAUUAUUGACUAUGAGGAAAGCCAUUCAAAAUCCUCGAAAUUUUAGUAAAAUUGACAGAAAAUAUCAUAAAAUAAGUAUUGUAAAAAUUGGAAAAAAAUUAUGAAGUUUUUGAAACAUUAAAUAACAACUGAACAAACAUUGCAUGAACAUUUUUUUAAAAUUUCAACUUGUUGAAUUGUAAUUUGAAUGAUCUAAUUGACAGAAACUUCGUGAAAUGAAAAAUGGUAAAAACUAAAAUGUGAUCAAAGUAUCUUUUUCUUUAUCUCGUAUUUCUAAAUCUUCACUUUGUUGAGAACUUUUUUUUUCAGGUGGAAAAAUAACCACCAACAGAUACCUAGUCCAGUCUAACCAUGAAAGUGUAAAUUGAAUAAUUAAUGAACCAGAUUCUCAACUAAAGUCUGAAUCGUCCGAUACUAGCAAUACUGAAGUCAAAGAUCAUUUCUUGUACUUCUAGCAUAAAAAUUAUUGACUAUAAGGAAAGUCAUUAAAAAUCGUCAAAAUUUUACUAAAAUUGGUUGACUAAUCAACCAUUUAUACUAUGCUCAGCCUCAGGUUCUAUUAAACCUUCUUUUUCUAUAUCUUAUUGCAUUUCCAAAUCUGGACUUUGUUGAGAACUUUUUGUUUUCUGAGUGGAAAAAUAGCCACUUCCACAUAUACGGGCAAAACGAACAAUUUUUUUUUGAUCUUUAAUUCUGGUUUUCCCACAACAACUUUUUUUCAAUUUUUUUCAAAACACCCGGGCAAAAGGAAUAAUUACCCCGGGCAAGAGGAAAACCAAUGAAAUUUGGUCAAAAAGUGUGAGGAUAAACUCAAUUUAUUGUGAAGGAGAUAACAUUGGUGAUAAACAAAGGUCAUUAGUGUUAAAACCAAUUCUUAAAAAAAUUUUUGAGUGUGUUGUGGGUAAGUUUUGGUGGAUAUUGCAUAGUAAUCAUACAUCGCAUAAUUCAGAAAAAAACGAGUUGCAUGUGAUACGAUUGUCAUUGCCUCUGGAUCUGUUAAGGGAACUUUUGAGUAUUCGCUAGCUUUCUAAAUUAAUUUUGGUAGUAACACAUCAUCAAAAUCCUAUUUUUUUUGAAAUUUUAAUUUUUUCCAUUACAAAAGCCUAUCUAAUUAUUCCUUUUGCCCUGUUCCUCUCACCCGAAACCACAUGACUUGAAUUUUUUUUCAAAAUUACGUCCAUAAGAGUCAAACUGAUAGAAAUGGUGUGAGUGGAUAAAAUUUACUUCAAUUUGAGAUCUUACUUACGUUUGUAGGUACUCUGGUAUUGAAAUCAUUUGAAAAAUUAAAAACCUUUUUAUGAAAUUCAACUACUCGAAAUCACAAAGUGGGUUCUCAGAAAAAAACAAACCUAGUUAUUGCAAAUUUUUUAGUUGCAAAAUAUUCCGCAAUCAAAACGCUAUCAAAUGACAGUUUAACCAACUUCCUACCUGUAUUAGAAAAAAUGUAAUUCAAGGUAUUCCUCUUGCCCGGGCUUCCCCCAGUCCAAAAAAUAGCUACUUAGAAACUUAUCUAUCAAUUCCGUAGGUACUUGUCUGAUACAGGCAAUACCGAAGCCAUAGUACGACUCUAAAAAUUAUCGACUAUAAGAAAAUUCAUUAAAAAUCCUCGAAGUUUUACUAAAAUUAUCCGUAAAUAUCAUAAAAUAAGUAUUGUGAAAAUUGAAAAAAAAGAUGAAAUUUUUGAAAAAUUAAAUAACGAUUGAACAAACAUUGCAUAAAACAUUUUUAAACUUGUUAACUUGUUGAAAUAUAAUUUGAAUAUUUAAAUUGACAGAAACUUCAUGAAUAAAUGAUGAUAAUGAUGAAAAAUGGUAAAAUGCGAUCAAAGUACCUACAUAAUAUAAUUAAUUUAAAAGGUCUGUAUAAGAGUAAAGGCACCAAUUAUGGACCAGUCUGCAAUAUGGAUCAGCACCAGACCUUGUUGGUAAUUAGCUCAACCUGUUAGAAAAAAAGGUUUUGUGAUACUGUAUAGGUAGAUAUUUUUCACUGAAAAGACAAAAAUAUGACAAAAAUUACAACUAUGAAGUCAAAACUCACUGAGAAAUCUAAGUACUUACAUACAAAAAAAAAAAACUUUUUGGAUAUGCUGCACACUUUUCUACUUGUAUUCUUCAACUUGUGUUGAAAUAAUAUGAUUAUGAUGUACUUAUCAUGUAAUUUUAUAAAUGUUACUGACGUUUAUAUAAAUUAUAAUAUUGAAAAAGUAGGUAAUUUUUGCUAAUGUAAUCAGUUUUUGUUAAAAGUUAAGGUACCUAUUGGUAGUUACAGAUUAUUAAAAAAAAUAUCAUUUAUUUCUGUUCCUAACACAAAAAAGUUAUUUACAAGUUUUUUGAUUUUUUAAAAACUUAGAUGUACCGUAUGUAUAGGCUUAAUUCUAUUUAAUCCACAAUAUAAGUUAUUGGUUCUAAUAAAGCAUUUGCAAGUUGAAUAGGAUGAUCUUGUAAAUGAUUUUGAUGUCUUCUAGCAAAUUUAGAUGUUUCUUGAGUACUUAUAAUUGUUGAAAUGUAGUGCAAAGUUUUUUUGUUUUUUUUUAAAUAGAGUGCACUAAUAUGAACCACCAGUGAUACAUACAUAUUAAACUUUUUACUCAUUUUCAUCAUUUCUUACAGCUACCAAAAAAAGGAAAUGAUGUUUUAAAACAUGAAAAUAUGAUUAUUUUGAAAUUUUAUUGGUGGUCCAUAUUAGGGGUCCAAAAUUUUGAACCACCAUUUUGACACUACUUGUCAUUCAACAAUUGAAAAAAAUCAAAAUUAACGUACACUGCUUAGAAUAUUUUUUUGUUCAUUUCUACAAAUAAAAUAAGUAAUGAUAUUUUUAAAAACAUAAAAAUAGGUAUGUUUAUUUUGAAAUUUUAUAAGUGGUCCAUAUUAGGCAUCAAAUGGAAAACAAAUGGAAAAUGUAUUCUAUUGAUAGAAAAACAAAAACUAUGAAACUUUUCUGGAAGAUUUGUUAUUUUAGAUGUACAUAUUAUCCACGUAAUAGGCCAUUCCACCUCAAUUCGACCAACGUUUUUGAGUCACGUCCCUCAAUUUCACUCAUGUUUUUUUUACAAUGUCUACCCACCCAUAAGUAAGAAACUUGCAACCAGUUCGGUCUCUGCAGGCCUCUCAGGACGGGGGUACGGGUGCUUCAAUUAUUUUCACAUUAUAUAUAUAAUGUGAAAAUAAUAGAAGCACCCGCACCCACACCCUGAGGGGGCUGCAGGGACCGAACUGAUUGCAAGUUUCUUUACAUAUGGGUGCAGACACUAAAAAAAAUUGAGUGAAAUCGAAAAACAUGACUUUCAAAAUCACAUUUUUUUGGUCGAAUUGACAUGGAAUGAUGGAUAAUUUAUUAAUGUAUCAAUUUUAUUAUAAUGUUUCAAUCAAUACCUAAACUAAUCAACUUGUUAACAUCAAAACCGCUGAUUAAAUUUAGUAUCAUUGGUCUUUUUGAAAUAAUUUAAGAUGUUAACUUAGACGAGUAAGAUAAAAUUAAAUAGAUACUCACAAUACCAGUAACCAAUUCAACAUUUGUAAAAUUUUGAUUAUAAAAUUAUCAUAAGAAAAUAAUCAAGAAUUUUCAAUCAUAAUGGCAAUUUCUUAACAUAAGUAGACUACCCAUUACCAUCAUAUUUUGAACAUUAACUCACACAACAUUCAAGAUGAAAGGACUCACCAUCAUUUUCUUAUUUUUCAAUGGAAUUGCAUCAGUUUUUCAACUUUCACUUUCUCAAACAGACUUUACUCCUGGUGUGAAUGCUGAACAUGAAGCGUUGCUUCGUUUAGGAUACAAAGAUAUCUCUGCAGUAGACUGGAAAGUUGCUUUUGCACGUCUUGCAGAAAGAUAUAUGAAGUUACAAGGAGAUUUUGAAAAGGUGAAAGAUGAUCUUAAGAAAGAAUGUCUCAUGGAAUCAAUAACAUGGAAAAUUGAAUUCUGGGAGGCUAUGCUGGCCCCAGAGUAUAAGUUUUUUGGAAGACAGAAUAUUUUGCUAUAUGCGAUGUUAUCAAAUGAUAUCAUGGCCUACAUGUAUGUCCACAAAGAACGAUGGGUAUGGAUCAUGAAGAACAGUUCAGAUACCAUAGUAAAGAAACUGAAUGAAUUUAUAAAGAAUAAUUUGAAUGGCGAUAUCGAUUCGUUUUGCUUAAGAAUUGCUGGUUUUUUUAAGUAUGCUCCAUCUCGAUCAGAACAUACCCCUCCGUUGCACGAAUACAAUGUAGAAGAAGUAGACGAAAUCAUGCGCAAUAAAUUUAAUAUUUAUGAUAAUAUCACAUUAGGAAUUGUUCAUUUUUUUAUGAAAACAUAAGUGAAUAAAUUUCGGCAAAAACAUUUACUUACUACAAUUUUUAAAAAAUUAAUAUAGGUACACUGGUACACAUAUUCUGUUAGCUUUAAACGUUCGAGCAGUAAGUCAGUAUUUAUAUUUUUUUCAUUUAAAAUUUUUUCAAUUAAAUUAAUGAUCAAAAAAUUAAGAAUAAGAAAGAAAAAUGGUCAAAACAGGAUAACAAUUUUCAAAAAUUUUAAAAAGUGUUUCAAAAAAGCUUUAAAAUUAGAUAGAUAGCAUAAAAAUUAUUGACUAGGUAUAUGGUAAGCUAUUAAAAAAUCAUGUAAAUUGUAGUAAAAUUGCACAUACAAAAAUAUAAUAAAAUAAGUACUUGUUGUAAAAAUAAUUGAAAAAAAGGAUGGAAUUUCUAAAAAAUUAAAUAUCGAUUGAACAAACAUUUCAUGAAACAUUUUUACAACUUGUUAAUUUGUUGGAAUACUCGUAUGAAAUUGGAGUGUUGCAAACUGACCGAAAUUUCAUAAAACGAAAAAUAGUAGUCAUUUUGAAGAAAAAAAUUCAGAAUACAUAUCAUUUAAAAUAUCUGAUUACCUAUAUGAAUUCUUGGGAUCCAGAAAGGUAUACUUCGUGUAAUUUCCUACACCCUCUUGGCUGCUCUAAAAAAUCUCUAAAAUUGGGUGUAAAUAUUGCAUUGAAAUGUUCAGAAAUUCGUGUCAUAAUUUUUAAAAGAGCCUUUCAGGGUAAGAUAGUGAAAUUCGCACUUUCUCCGAUUUGGUUGAAACUCACCCAAAAUGUUAGUUUGGAUGUAAAACCAUCCCAAAAAUUAUUUUGAGCCAA